rnacentral:lncRNA from 1 species
AUCUAAUAGGAUGGCGGGAAGGGGGAGUACUACGGGUCGCUACGAGGUUCAACCCAAGCUCUUUUAAUCUUGUUUCUCGAUGCUUCCGGAAGAGCGUAUUUAAUCUUUUUGUAAAUAUCUAAUGAUUCUCUGCAAAGCGCAUGGGGCUGCUAUAAAUGCUGAAAAAACAGCAGUGAACAAAACGGAUAAAAAUUCUUGCCCUCGUGGAGUUGAGAUUCUAGUGAAACAAGACAGAUAUUAAAACCAACAGGAGCCGGCGCCGUGGCUAGCGCCUGGAAUCUCAGGGAGCGGACCUGAGUGGUUUCCUACAAGAUGAUUGAAACCCUGUUGAAAAGAAAACUGGAUUCAGCAUGCAUUUCUUCCUUUGUUAGAUGUGCCUCGGCAGGGGACUUAUUUCUCUUAGUGAGGCUUUGUAUGAAUAUUGGACUUAUAUUCCCUUUCCACCCUUGUAUCAGGGAGUCACCUGGGAGGAGGCGGAAAUUAAGGUUUUCACCCAUAACAUUACUUGGAUGCCGUCCCCCAUAUGGACAAGGACAACAUAGAACGGGAAACAGCAAUUAUAAUCAGCACAUACCAAUUUGGAGUGGAAGCACUUCCAAUAUGUAUGGGAAUAGUCCUCAUUGUCUCCGAAAAUCGCAUGAAGCUUGGGCUGUUCGUUAUAAUCAUAGUCAUGUGGCUGCUAAUACUGUUAUUAUUGUAACUAGAAGUUUUUAAUAUAAUCAUACUGUAUAUAGUAAUGAAACUAUUCCUAGUUCUUUACUUUUUUUGUCCUAUUCUAGAGGUUUCUCCUAAUAUUGAGGUGCUGGAGUGACAACAAUGUCGGGGAACUAAACCCCGGAUUUUAUUAGAAUACAAUGGGAUGCAAAUAACUGAUUGAAGUGUGCACGGUGAUUUUCAAACAAAAUUUAGUCACAUACCUUUGAAAUGACACUGGGUAAAUAAAGUAUUGCUGCUAACAGUAAUGAAACCUUGGUAUGGUGUGAAGGAGGCCUGAAGUACAGAGUUAUUUUUGGAAGUUGUUAGUUGCAGGCGAUGCCAUUAGCACUUUUGUGGGGAAUAUGCCCCUUAAUCUUUCUAACCUGAAUAACUCCUUUCAUAUUCAGUUAUAUCGGAAUACCUCCUGAUAUAUUAUUGCUUGUGUCCGUAAGCCCUACCUAUUAUUAGCAGGAAAUUUGACAUGGGAUAAUCUUACGGGGAUUGUUAAUUGUACAGAUACGUGUACAUUUUUGUCUUGCCUCAAUCAUUCCUGGUGGCACAACUUUACUGGGGAUAUUUAUAUCCUCAGGGCUCGUAAGGAAAUUUGGCUACCUGUUAACCUUACGCGACCAUGGGGGGCAUCACCUCUUGAGACUUAUAUUUGGACUUCUCUCCAGCGAACCCUCCGUGCCCUUGGACUUAUAAUUGCCUCGGUGAUGAGCCUUGUCGCCAUCGUCUCCACUGCGGCCGUGGCAGGGCUCGCUCUUCAUCAAAGCAUACAAAAUGCUGAAUUUG